rnacentral:rRNA from 1 species
GACGAACGCUGGCGGCGUGCUUAACACAUGCAAGUCGAACAGUAAGGCCCUUCGGGGUACACGAGUGGCGAACGGGUGAGUAACACGUGGGUGAUCUGCCCUGCACUUCGGGAUAAGCCUGGGAAACUGGGUCUAAUACCGGAUAGGACCCUGGGAUGCAUGUCCUGGGGUGGAAAGCUUUUGCGGUAUGGGAUGGGCCCGCGGCCUAUCAGCUUGUUGGUGGGGUGAUGGCCUACCAAGGCGACGACGGGUAGCCGGCCUGAGAGGGUGACCGGCCACACUGGGACUGAGAUACGGCCCAGACUCCUACGGGAGGCAGCAGUGGGGAAUAUUGCACAAUGGGCGCAAGCCUGAUGCAGCGACGCCACGUGAGGGAUGACGGCCUUCGGGUUGUAAACCUCUUUCAGCACCGACGAAGCGCAAGUGACGGUAGGUGCAGAAGAAGGACCGGCCAACUACGUGCCAGCCGCCGCGGUAA